rnacentral:rRNA from 1 species
GACGAACGCUGGCGGCGUGCUUAACACAUGCAAGUCGAACGGAAAGGCCCUGCUUUUGUGGGGUGCUCGAGUGGCGAACGGGUGAGUAACACGUGAGUAACCUGCCCUUGACUUUGGGAUAACUUCAGGAAACUGGGGCUAAUACCGGAUAGGAGCUCUUGCUGCAUGGUGGGGGUUGGAAAGUUUCGGCGGUUGGGGAUGGACUCGCGGCUUAUCAGCUUGUUGGUGGGGUAGUGGCUUACCAAGGCUUUGACGGGUAGCCGGCCUGAGAGGGUGACCGGCCACAUUGGGACUGAGAUACGGCCCAGACUCCUACGGGAGGAAGCAGUGGGGAAUAUUGCACAAUGGGCGGAAGCCUGAUGCAGCAACGCCGCGUGCGGGAUGACGGCCUUCGGGUUGUAAACCGCUUUCGCCUGUGACGAAGCGUGAGUGACGGUAAUGGGUAAAGAAGCACCGGCUAACUACGUGCCAGCAGCCGCGGUGAUACGUAGGGUGCGAGCGUUGUCCGGAUUUAUUGGGCGUAAAGGGCUCGUAGGUGGUUGAUCGCGUCGGAAGUGUAAUCUUGGGGCUUAACCCUGAGCGUGCUUUCGAUACGGGUUGACUUGAGGAAGGUAGGGGAGAAUGGAAUUCCUGGUGGAGCGGUGGAAUGCGCAGAUAUCAGGAGGAACACCAGUGGCGAAGGCGGUUCUCUGGGCCUUUCCUGACGCUGAGGAGCGAAAGCGUGGGGAGCGAACAGGCUUAGAUACCCUGGUAGUCCACGCUGUAAACGGUGGGUACUAGGUGUGGGGUCCAUUCCACGGGUUCCGUGCCGUAGCUAACGCUUUAAGUACCCCGCCUGGGGAGUACGGCCGCAAGGCUAAAACUCAAAGGAAUUGACGGGGCCCCGCACAAGCGGCGGAGCAUGCGGAUUAAUUCGAUGCAACGCGUAGAACCUUACCUGGGUUUGACAUGGAUCGGGAGCGCUCAGAGAUGGGUGUGCCUCUUUUGGGGUCGGUUCACAGGUGGUGCAUGGCUGUCGUCAGCUCGUGUCGUGAGAUGUUGGGUUAAGUCCCGCAACGAGCGCAACCCUUGUUCACUGUUGCCAGCACGUUAUGGUGGGGACUCAGUGGAGACCGCCGGGGUCAACUCGGAGGAAGGUGGGGAUGACGUCAAGUCAUCAUGCCCCUUAUGUCCAGGGCUUCACGCAUGCUACAAUGGCUGGUACAGAGAGUGGCGAGCCUGUGAGGGUGAGCGAAUCUCGGAAAGCCGGUCUCAGUUCGGAUUGGGGUCUGCAACUCGACCUCAUGAAGUCGGAGUCGCUAGUAAUCGCAGAUCAGCAACGCUGCGGUGAAUACGUUCCCGGGGCU